rnacentral:rRNA from 1 species
CGGAUGAAUGAGGAACUAGAGAGCGGCGGACGGGUGAGUAACGCGUGGGUAACCUGCCCUAUGGAGGGGGAUAACUAAGAGAAAUUUUAGCUAAUACCGCAUAAGCACACAGGAUCACAUGAUCUAGGGUGAAAAACUCCGGUGCCAUAGGAUGGACCCGCGUAAGAUUAGCUAGUUGGUGAGGUAAUGGCUCACCAAGGCGACGAUCUUUAGCCGACCUGAGAGGGUGAUCGGCCACAUUGGGACUGAGACACGGCCCAAACUCC